rnacentral:lncRNA from 1 species
AGAGGGAAAAGUUAAUCAAAAUGUCUGUGAAGCUCUGGCUUCAGUCUCUCCAGCGAGGCUUUCUGAAGCACAGCUCUGAUAGAACUAAACCCAAUGAGACACCGCCUACAAGAGGAAUCCAGCGUGUGAACGAAGACUAAAAAGCAAAACAGCAGCGUCUGGAGUGGACAGCUUCUCUCACUCAGAGAACUGUAGCCUCAAAUUCCUGGCAGAGGGAACCACCAUCUCAGAUGGUAGAAACCACUCAGAAGGAUCAACUGCUGCAGACGGGAAGAGGAGCAACCUCGUGAAUAAUUUCGUGACAGGAUAUUGCAGGAGGGACUUUGUCCAAAUGUGUGCAGGGUAGUUGGCUACAGCAACAAGGAUGACGAACACAGAUGAAUUGAUCAGGAUGUAACCAUUCAAAGUUGAGAGGAUUAGAGGACUUCUCCGAGGCGGCUCCAAUGGAUGCCAGCAGAGUUAAAGUGUCCAAUGGAGAGAAGAGAAGGCUUGGGAAAUCCAGAGUCCAUUCAUUCAUCGCCCUCCUCCUAGAACAACAAAAGCGAGCCCCAGUACUCAUCAGCAUGGACUCUGUGUGUAGUCAUCUCCCUUAGUUUCAGAGGUUCCUGCCUACAGCAAAACUUUAGAGGCUUAGAGUUUAACGGUCAUAGCUUAUUCACCUCCAACUGUGUCCUAGUUCAAGAGAAACACUUCACAUAUCUGUAGGGAGA